rnacentral:rRNA from 1 species
AUGGCCACGGCGUUCAAGGCGUUCUUGAACAGCCCCGUCGGCCCCAGGACCACGCACUUCUGGGGACCCGUCAGCAACUGGGGCUUCAUCCUCGCGGGUAUGGCUGACAUGAACAAGCCACCUGAAUUGAUAUCCGGCCAUAUGACUGCAGUCAUGUGUGUGUAUUCUGGCCUAUUUAUGAGGUUCGCAUGGGUGGUACGGCCCCGGAACUAUUUUCUUAUGGCAACCCAUGCCUCCAACGAAAGCGUUCAGCUCUACCAGUUAUCUCGCUAUGCUAGGGCUCAAGGUUACCUGGAGAAGAAAGAGCCUGAAGCCCAACAGUAA